rnacentral:lncRNA from 1 species
GUACUGCACUUUUAUUAGAAUCGUAGAAUAGAAUGAUAUACAAUUGGAUGAAAAUUAUACAUACAUGUAACUGCUAUAUACAAUUAUAAAUAUAAUAUAUAACAACAAACCAGAGUAUACGUAUUUGUAUCACCACAAUAUAAUAGAUAUUAAAGCAGUGAAGUUGAAUUCCUUGUCAUUUAUUCAUCAUCCACGCACGAACUUGUCUCAGAAAAAAAUAUAUCUCUGUACAUAAACCUCAGUUUUCCGGUAUAGAAAUGUGAUUUUUUUCUGAGACAAGUGCUUGUGACCAUCCACA